UUGCGCGACGUUGGCUUUUCCAAUUUUCUGUAAAACAGAUCGCCUGUUCAAAAACGAUGGUUCAGUUGGGGAAUUCUGAAGUCAUGAUUAGCGUUUGUAGCGCACUGAUAAGAAUUGCAUUAGUGUUUGUGGGAAAUUAUAUCUGAACGCACGAUGCACGAUUUUAAUGCAAUAGCCAUCGAGAGUGCAGUGCUGUAAUGUUGCUUUAUGAUCAUUUAUGUUGCAAUGAUUAAAAAUCGAGAAAAAUUAUUAGAUUAUUAUUGAAUAUUUUUAUAUGAAAUUGCACAUAGUUUUUAAAUCUGUCCAGCAACAAAGAGGGUACGAGAUUGUGCGAACUUGUGUACAAACUAAACGUUGUAAAUUCCACUUAUCUUAAGUUCACAGACUUAUAUUAAAUCUGUAUUAAGUUUGCA